rnacentral:rRNA from 1 species
CCUACGGGAGGCAGCAGUGAGGAAUAUUGGUCAAUGGGCGCUAGCCUGAACCAGCCAAGUAGCGUGAAGGAUGACUGCCCUAUGGGUUGUAAACUUCUUUUAUAUGGGAAUAAAGUGCAGUAUGUAUACUGCUUUGCAUGUACCUUAUGAAUAAGGAUCGGCUAACUCCGUGCCAGCAGCCGCGGUAAUACGGAGGAUGCGAGCGUUAUCCGGAUUUAUUGGGUUUAAAGGGUGCGUAGGCGGGUUAUCAAGUCAGCGGUAAAAUCGUGGAGCUCAACUCCAUCCAGCCGUUGAAACUGAUGAUCUUGAGUGGGCGAGAAGUAUGCGGAAUGCGUGGUGUAGCGGUGAAAUGCAUAGAUAUCACGCAGAACUCCGAUUGCGAAGGCAGCAUACCGGCGCCCGACUGACGCUGAAGCACGAAAGCGUGGGUAUCGAACAGGAUUAGAUACCCGAGUAGUC